GGCUCGCGGGGGCGGCGCCCACCUCCGUCCUACCUGCCCGCUCGCCCGCCCGCCCAGGUGAGACGGGGCCGGGCCGGGCCACACCCCGCCCCGCCCCAGCCUCCACCGGCCCAGAGGAGCCAGCCUCGGGGGCGGGGAGAGCAAGGGCGAGAAAAGACAAAUCAGGGAAAUAAAGAUGGGGUGUCGUGAUGUCCAGGAGCCGCGCCUCGCCCCGCUUUCUACAGGGAGAGACAGCGAGACGAAAGUUUGAAACAUGGGGCCUUCUGGAGAACGCAACCAGUGUUUCACUGAAAGUGAUUUCCACGCCUAAGUGAACAUUUCCAGACCUGGAUUUAUGGUUCUAACUAGAGUUAAAAAACAGUCUGCUGGACUGUGAAAUGGGAGCUAUGUUACCAGGAGCAGUAAACAGAGCAGCAUGGCUGAAGUAAGGAUCACUGGAGUAGUGGAAACAUUCAAGCCCAUGUAAAAGGAAACAGGGCCAUUAAUGCCUAUGGAACGAGGGGUUUAGAAGGAAUCAAGUCGAUUCUAAUGAGCCAUGAAGUCAAGUGACUCUCCCCCUGCUGCCUCAAAAGAAGGGCUGUUGCCACUGCCAGGGACUUGGCUUCAAACUUUGCAUGGACCGGGAAUCAAAGGGUUGCACCAAGGCACCUCCCCAUGGAUCCACCUCUGUCUCCACCUUUUCAGACUCUAGCCCGCCUGGGACAAUGCUGGGAGCUUUCCCACAUUUUUUGACUACAGAAAAACACUAGAGCAAGGGCCACUGCAGGGAACUCAGGCAGACCCCAGCUGGGCAGAAGGGUUUUGGCACUAUUCCUAUCUGAAAUCCCCAGAUUUAUCUUGUGAAUGACGUUUGCCCCCCUAACAGUGCUAGCAUUGCAUGGCACUUCACAGCACUCUUGAAAGGAACUCAAAGCACCCCAAGGUGCCGUGGCACCCUGGUUGGGAUUUACUGCUCUACCACAGGCGGGGGGCACUUUCCAUGCUCCUUCCAUCCCGCUCAGCUCUGGUGAGUGGGAGCUGGAGGAGACAUAGGCCCACCAGCUCUCGAAGAUUAUCUGGAUGGUCCUUGCAAUGCUACCUAGACUUGUAAACCCUCAGUUUCCAUGACGGCAGAGUUUUUUCCUUCUCCAAAACUCUUUACUUAGGUAGGCGUGGCAUGGCAUAAGCCAUGUACAUACCUACACACACCCACAAUGCAGUUUCAAGAGCUGCAGUUACAGCGCCAACACAGCUGGGGUACAACCUAACCCAGUAAUUCUUAACCGGGUGCCACAUCACCCGAGUGUGGCUCGAGAUCCUUUUAAGGAUGCCGCAAGGUGCCAUGCAACAUUAGCACUGCUAGGUGCACGAGCCCGAAUCACAGAAAAUCCCAAGUUCGAAGCGGUGCCACAGUGGUAGAUGCACGCUGGCCUGCUGUGGCCUGAGCUCUCUGCAACAGAAAGAUUGUUCUGUCAUUUUUCCACACUCAAAACACAAGUGCAAGCUAAGACCUGAAUGCCUUGAGUCUCAAAAGGUUGAGAACAACUGCAUGACCUCUCAAUGCCCACAUCAAAUCCAGGCCCAAUUUAGAGCCCAGGCAGCAUUGCCAUUGGAAAUAGGGCUGCAGAGCCAGAAUCCAGACUGAUGUCUGGUGCAAGAGGCUGUUUUCAUCCCUGAACAUCCAGAGAAUAUUUCUCCUAGCACCUUUCCACUGGUCGGAGCAUGAGGAGCAGCUGUUCAUCUACUCCCAGACCCACUUCUCCCUUCAUUAGGAGGGGCACCUCAUGGCAAAAGAGCCGACGUGUCCAUCCUCGGAUGGCCUGUGCCAUAUACAAGGCAGUCUUCUCUCAGACACACUUAAUACAAAUGGCGCAGGCUACCUUUAAGCGUAAAAACAAUAAUCAUUUUUCUGUCUCCAAAUGGCUGAGUCCUACGACUGGUGGAGCCCACCCCUUCCAUUAACAGAAACAGAAUUUGGCAAACGAGAAAGCUGCGCUGAGCAUCGGGGCUCGGAGAGAUUAAAAUAAAUAGCAGGGUUCUGAAAUGUAAAGUGUACUACCAAGCAUUAAUGAUGAAUUGUAACCGAGUCCAGGGGUGCUGUCAGGAGAAUUUACAACACCGACAUUUAAAAAAAAAACCAUUGGGAUAAUCUGUUCCCACAAGGAAGAUAAUUGCCAUCCUGACUACUCAAGUGACCUGCUCUACGUACCCCGUGCUGUCUGCCUGCCGAUGGGAAGUCAGCAGGAAAAGACCAUUCCUUCUUUGCCCUUUGGAAAACAUCUAGUAUCUCUGAAGACCAGCAGGAACUCAUAAAAAAAAAAAAAAACAACCUAGCAUGCAGAUUAGGAGCACUAACACAUAAAACUGUAAUCACUUGUGAAGUUGUAUUACAAUUUAUCAGGGGAAAUAAAAUGCCAGAAUACAACGUAACCAGGGAAAUUGUAUUGGCUGUUGGAAAAGGAAGGAGUGGUGUUUACUUUAAGCAGGUCAGAUCCUCAGCUAGUAUAAACUGUUAUAACUAUGUUGACUUCAGUGUAGCUGUGGAGGAGCUAAGUAAGUUUUCCUAGGAACACUGGUUAACACCAGGUAUGAAUUAUAACAACGUCCCGCAAUGGUUUUUGAAAGGUUAAGGAUCUAACAAAACCAGGAAAAGAAAAUACACUAUCUAAGCUGCUACGGUUGGAGUAACUCGCAUUCAUUUUCAGUUGCUGGCACCCAGCUUUUAAAUAUUAUAUCUCUCUUUUCACUCAGGCUUUUCUUUCUUCAAUAUGGUGGCGGGACGUCAAAUUGCUGGUCUAGUCCAGCCCUCCGGUAAGUAGAAGCAACUUCCUGGAGAAGCCGACUGGCUUGCACAAACUCAGACAAUGCUACAGAUAAUCUGGGUCCCCGAAUACCAGGAGAGCCUGCCACAUGCUUAACAACAUUAUCCUCUCUGCCACCCUCCCUUGGAUUCAUGCCCCAGGGCUCCUAGGGCCCAGCAAGAAAGUAAAGCAUUAUGAUUUAAACAGCUGAGGGAGCUCUGGGAAAAGAGAGAGAAGGAACACGUAAUGGAGUGUCAGACAGAGAGUCUGAACACUUUUUUCUGUGCUUUCUAACAGUGGGAAAGGGCAAGGAUGCAAAUGAUUUCAGGAAGAACUAAGUCCUGUCUCCCGGAGACCAUACCAAGAAAUGUCCGUCAUGCAGUGAGCAGAGGGAGUUGGUAAUCAGUGGGCACGAUCCAAUUCCAGUCUCUCAUCGGGAAGAAUCUGGUCUCACUCCACUCAACCCGAUGGAAGGACAGCCGAGUGAAAACAGCACACACAGGAGGAAGGUCAGGUCCACAGCACGAGCACAGCCCACUCCAGGCAGAAGGCCCUUGGGAUACACAGGGGACAUAUUCUCACAAGCUGGUCUCACACCCUGCCCAAGGCUCGUGCAGAGACACCAAGACAUGCAGAAAAGUGGAGUUCACCUGCAUCCCGCCACUUCAACCCACUUAACAGAAGUGACACCUGCUCCUCACGUCCUUAUGCCAGAAGGCCUGACCGUUGACUUCACUCAAGUGCAAAUCCAACACCUCCUCAGUCUCAGCUCCGCUGCCAAGAGACCACUUCUGCCAACUUGUACAGAGCUGACAAAGUCACCCUGUCCCUGCCUGGGAUGGGCACAGGUAUUGGCGAUGCAUAGGGGGUGCACGUGCAUCCCGAGAUUGGCGGUGCAGCCCCCGAAAGAAGCACUGCUGAUGCUGCCGGUGGUGCAUGGGGUCAGUUGCUGCUUGCCACCACUCCCCCUCACCGCUGACACUGCUGGUUGCAUCUGCGGACAGUUGCCAAUUGCCACUGACCGCUGCCGGCAGUGUCUGUGAGCAGAUGCUGACCACAGGUCAGCACUCACCACCCCUUCCCCUGCCACCGACACCACCAUGGCUGCCUGUGGGAGCUCCCUGCUCGCCACCACUAUGCCCCUGCUGCCGCCUGCAGGCAGUCACCAUGCCCCCGAGCCUCCAGGAGCACACGUCGUUCAUGGGCAAAGGGCGCAGUCCGCCCGAUCCUUGUGCCAGACCAGGCCCUGCAAGUUUACCUCAAGGCUUAAAUAGAAAGUGGGUCCCCCAGAGGGAAGUAAAUUUUGCCCAAAUUAAAUCCUGUGGCAAACCACUGAAGUUGCAGAUUGGACUGAAACUUUAAAGACCCACGUAAGUGAUUUUCUUGAACAGUUUUCAGCUCGGAAAUAUAACAAGCCGCAGACUCAACCCCCUGCUUACCCAACAGGUUAAUUCCAGGCAUGCCUUGGUUUUAAAGUAGUGUCAGUCUUGCCUGGUACAUCUUUGUUCAGACAAUUCAAUUGAUUAUAAAGGCUCUUGCUGGACCCAGCUCUGCUGUGAAUGAAGUGAACAGGAGUCUGGAUGCUAAAGGAUUAUAGAAGCAGCUAAGUUACAGCUGUCAAACUCACUUAGUCCUGUGGGUCAGAAAAAUAGACUGGUCCCAUGCCAUGGGGGCCAGAUCAGGCCCACAGACCCUCCCCUGCUCCACAUGCUCAACCCAGUGCCCACAGGACCUGCUCCCGCUGAUGCAGUCCAGGACCAACCAAAGCAGACACUUGAUCUGGCAUAUGUGGGACCUAUAGACCUCUGCCCUCCACAUGCCAGAUCCAACAUGCUCUCUGGCUGUUGUAGGACUGUGCCUGCUCCAGGACCCACACGGCAUGUGGUACUUGCCCCAGCCCAGCUGGAGUGGGUGCCACAUGCAACUCGCAUCCCAGACUGAUCAGAACAGGCACUGCAGGCACUGGAUCCAGCAUGCUAGGGAAGGGCAGGGAAGGAUCCCUGGACUGGCUCCAUAUGGUCCAGGUCUUGGGCCUGGCUCACGCUGUGUGGGUCCACUUGAGACCAAAUCUGGCCUGCGGGGCAUGACUGACACCUAAGCCAAGUCAUUUCUGGUGGAGCUCAUGCCAAGAGCUCUUCAGAAGAGUCUGCACAGCUUCCCAACCAGACUAGUAGGGGAGGGGUUGCUGCCUCUUGAGUAUCUUUACUUGUGAAAGGGUUAAAACAGCUGCUUGUUCCAGAGUUGCAGCAGCAUCCUCUUCUUGCUGAAUUACAAAGCGUAUAGCUUGGUUCCACUCUGGAAUACACAAAGACGGUUUUAUGCACUGGGUCACCGUGACUUGGCUACAUGCACAUCUUGUGUUUUUCACCCCAGCAUUACUGCUGCAUCCAUGAUCCAGCUGAUCAUGCUGGUGUCCCUCAGGAAAAUGAAUCACUGGGUUCUUUCACACGUGACAGAAGUGCUGUUUCUCUAAUGGCUAGUCCAGGGAUUUUUUUCAAUCAGCAUAUUUAUUUCCCAUUCCUGGAUCCUAAGGACUAGGGUCAAUAAUAGUGGCUCCUCAUGCGCUACUUAAGCGCAUCUUUGAUGGAGUCCCCACCACUGAUGGUUGGGAAGGGCAGGGAGUCCUCUCCCCGCAAGUCCAGUAAUGCUAGCCUGUGGUGGAAUUUUGUUACGCUUUCCAGAAUUCUUCAGGACCAGGUUAUGAUUUGGAUCAAGUAUCCUUGCAGCCUCCUCUCCUUGGGAUGAUGCUGAUUGGGGGCUGGGGGGAAUGCACAGAACCUUAGCCCACCCCUGCUUGAUGGCUAAACCAGUCCAGGAUGGGUAGUGAUAUCUUGCUAGCUUGGGCCAACAGUGCAGCGCUACCUCCUAGGAGCAGAGUGGGAAGCAUGGACACAACUGUGAUUACAGGUCAGUGAAAUUCAUACAUUAACUCACUGCUCAGGACUGUACCUACAGUCAUCUUCAAACGUUAAGGGAGAAGCCCUGCUCCCAUGCCCCUCGGCUCAAAACCAGGAACGAAUUCUCCAGCCGUUACACAUUUCCAAGCUUUUCAUUCUUGUCACAGGGGGGUGGUGGAGGAAUAUCCUUCUGAGAGCAAACAAUUUCUGACUCAUCCUAUCCAGGGAAACCAAGUGAGCAACACAAUGUACCUCUGGCCAGCACAACUGUGUUCUCCCUGUGGACAAGGCCAUAGAGAAACAUAGAUCCCAAAUCAACAUGUGCAUGGGGGGGGAAGGGGAGAAAGGAGACAGACUAUUGUUUAAGCCCAGUUACCAGUUUUCUCAGGUCGAGGCCCACAGAUCUCACUAGCAGCCUGCAGAGAGAUCCCCAGGACACGGAUGCCCUCUAGAUCUUCAGGCGACGAAGAGUCUGGACACCUGAACUAGGAACACCGAGGGUGAGCCACAGCUGCUGCUGCUGCGCUGUGAAGAGGAAAAUGGAGGGGGUCACUAGGAAAGCACAUGCAAAAGAACCGGGCUGCAUCUGUAGGUGGAGAGGAGCAGCCGCCGAUAUAGGAAGAAACAAAAGGGAUGAAUGAGGAGGGACAUUAAGUGACAAUGGAAAAGCCUUUUUUCUUAAAGGCCUGAAACGUGCCAGAACCAACGGGGGGCUUUCUGUUGAAAUGGGUGGUUGAAAGAUCGUCUCCAAAAUAUCCUCCUUUAUUACCUUCCCUAGUAAGUAACUGCUGUAGUAGCCUCAGGGACACUGUGAUGAUCCCGGACUGGAUCUACAGAACAGUCUAAGCUAAGAUGCGGGCCAGGCUUUGAAACCUCUAUUUUAAAGAGCAAGUUGCGGUUAUUACAUGUAAAGUGGGCUCUCCCUCCUUUAGCAGUGAUCAGAGUUGAUGGGUGUUACCAUGUUGAAUUAAUAUAAAACAAAAAGCCUUCCUGGAGGGAAAAAUUAAACAAUCCUUUAUAAAUAACCUAGUUUUCAAAUGUGCUGUUACCGGUAAUUCAUACCUGCUAGUUUAUUUACAGCUUCUUACAAAGUGCAGGCUUGGCUCAGUUUUAAUUUACUGCAACUCGAAUAAUAUGAAAAAAGCUAAGCAAUAACCCUACCUCCAGGGGAUCCUGUCUGAAGUAGGCACACUUUCAUAUCUUAUUACUACCCCUUUAAGGCAGCCUAAAUAAAGCACAAUGCCCUUUCUUAUAUUUGGUUUUAAAACAACCUCCUAAAUUAAGACAGCAGGGUCAAACUGACCACACAUUAUCUAGUGCUGUACUCAGCUGUUCCCUCAUAACUUACAUGUUUGUUUGUAAUCUUAUAAUAAAAAGAAAAGUCCCCCAGA